UUCGGCCAUAGUGGCGCACGGGUGAGUAACGCGUGGGAACCUGCCCAGCAGUGGGGGAUAACUUCAGGAAACCGGGGCUAAUACCGCAUACGCCCUUAGGGGGAAAGAUUUAUCGCUGUUGGAGGGGCCCGCGUCCGAUUAGUUUGUUGGUGGGGUAAUGGCCUACCAAGACUACGAUCGGUAGCUGGUCUGAGAGGAUGAUCAGCCACACUGGGACUGAGACACGGCCCAGACUCCUACGGGAGGCAGCAGUGGGGAAUAUUGGACAAUGGGCGCAAGCCUGAUCCAGCAAUGCCGCGUGAGUGAUGAAGGCCUUAGGGUUGUAAAGCUCUUUCGGCGGGGACGAUGAUGACGGUACCCGCAGAAGAAGCCCCGGCUAACUUCGUGCCAGCAGCCGCGGUAAUACGAAGGGGGCUAGCGUUGUUCGGAAUUACUGGGCGUAAAGAGCACGUAGGCGGUUCGUUAAA
rnacentral:rRNA from 1 species